UCUUUGGUGGCUGAGAGUAAAAGCGGUAGAUUGUAGAUCUAUUAACGAAGUUAAAUCUUCCCAAUGAA
rnacentral:tRNA from 1 species